AUUUUCCGGUUGAUCCUGCCGGAGGCUACUGCUAUUGGGAUUCGACUAAGCCAUGCGAGUCAAGGUGUCUUCGGACGCCGGCAUACGGCUCAGUAACACGUAGGUAACCUACCCUCAGGACUGAGAUAACCCCGGGAAACUGGGGCUAAUAUUAGAUAGAUAAAAGGUACUGGAAUGUUCUUUUAUCCAAAGCUUUUGCGCCUGAGGAUGGGCCUGCGCCCGAUUAGGUUGUUGGUGGGGUAAUGGCCCACCAAGCCUACGAUCGGUACGGGCAGUGGGAGCUGAAGCCCGGAGUUGGGGACUGAGACAAGGCCCCAGGCCCUACGGGGCGCAGCAGGCGCGAAACCUCUGCAAUGCGGGAAACCGUGACAGGGGGAUCCCAAGUGCUCAUGCAUUGCAUGGGCUGUUCUUUGGUCUAAGUAACCAGAGGAGUAAGGGCUGGGCGAGACCGGUGCCAGCCGCCGCGGUAAUACCGGCAGCUCAAGUGGUAGCCGCGAUUAUUGGGCCUAAAACGUUCGUAGCCGGAUAAGUAAGUCUUUGGUUAAAUCCUGCGACUUAACCGUGGGAAAUCUAGAGAUACUGCUUGUCUUGAGACCGGGAGAGGUUGGAGGUACUCCCAGGGUAGGGGUGAAAUCCUGUAAUCCUGGGGGGACCACCUGUGGCGAAGGCGUCCAACUGGAACGGGUCUGACGGUGAGGGACGAAACCUAGGGGAGCGAGCCGGAUUAGAUACCCGGGUAGUCCUAGGCGUAAAUGAUGCGAGUUAAGUGUGGGGGCAUCCACGAGAUGGCCCUGUGCUGUAGGGUAGCCGUUAAACUCGCUGCCUGGGGAGUACGGUCGCAAGGCUGAAACUUAAAGGAAUUGGCGGGGGAGCACCACAAGAGGUGGAGGCUGCGGUUCAAUUGGAUUCAACGCCGGAAAU
rnacentral:rRNA from 1 species